rnacentral:tmRNA from 1 species
GGGGGCGACCUGGCUUCGACGUGGGUUGCAGAACCUGAGGAGCAUGUCGAGCUUCAGUAUCUCGUAAAUCUGCUGAAAAACAAUAAACGCUGAAAAUAAACCUUUAGCUCUAGCAGCCUAACUGCCGCUAGCUUCACUCAGAGUAGGCUUAUAUGCUUUGUACUGAAGUCAUUAUGAUAAGACCGCAAUACAUAUUCUUGCCAUUGUAUUGUUAAAUCUAAGCAAGAUAGCUAUUAAGUAGAUUGUUUGUUGUCAGCUUAAUGGUUAAAUUAAAAACAAACUAAACAUGUAGUGCCAAUGGCUAAGUGCUUUCGGACGCGGGUUCGAUUCCCGCCGCCUCCACCA